CGUUCCCGUACGAGCACCGAAGUUAAGCAAAGUCGAGCCUGGUCAGUACCUGGGUGGGCGACCGCUUGGGAAUGCCAGGUGU